UGAUCGUUCAUACAAUAUUUCAUUCAUACAGUAGAAUGUAUGUUAAAGGUAGAGUUACGUUUUGCAUUUCAAAAGUACAUUUUUCGCAGCUUGAUGCAGAAAACGUUGUUUGCAACACGUUGCGAAAGUGGUAAUUUUUGUCACAUCACAUCUUCAUCUAGUGACAAAAACUACCACUUUUCGCAACUAUAGUUGCAUAAAUUACUAUUUCUUUGUUUGAGAAAAUCUU